rnacentral:rRNA from 1 species
GAUGAACGCUGGCGGCGUGCCUAAUACAUGCAAGUCGAGCGAACGGACGAGAAGCUUGCUUCUCUGAUGUUAGCGGCGGACGGGUGAGUAACACGUGGAUAACCUACCUAUAAGACUGGGAUAACUUCGGGAAACCGGAGCUAAUACCGGAUAAUAUUUUGAACCGCAUGGUUAAAAAGUGAAAGACGGUCUUGCUGUCACUUAUAGAUGGAUCCGCGCUGCAUUAGCUAGUUGGUAAGGUAACGGCUUACCAAGGCAACGAUGCAUAGCCGACCUGAGAGGGUGAUCGGCCACACUGGAACUGAGACACGGUCCAGACUCCUACGGGAGGCAGCAGUAGGGAAUCUUCCGCAAUGGGCGAAAGCCUGACGGAGCAACGCCGCGUGAGUGAUGAAGGUCUUCGGAUCGUAAAACUCUGUUAUUAGGGAAGAACAUAUGUGUAAGUAACUGUGCACAUCUUGACGGUACCUAAUCAGAAAGCCACGGCUAACUACGU